rnacentral:rRNA from 1 species
AGAAUCAACGCUGGCGGCGUGCCUAACACAUGCAAGUCGCACGAGAAAGGGUAGCAAUACCUGAGUAAAGUGGCGCACGGGUGAGUAACACGUGAAUUAUCUACCUCCGAGUGGGGAAUAACUGAGAGAAAUCUUAGCUAAUACCGCAUAACACUUACGAGUCAAAGCAGCAAUGCGCUUGGAGAGGAGUUCGCGGCCGAUUAGUUAGUUGGCGGGGUAAUGGCCCACCAAGACGAUGAUCGGUAUCCGGCCUGAGAGGGCGCACGGACACACUGGAACUGAAACACGGUCCAGACUCCUACGGGAGGCAGCAGUGGGGAAUUUUGCGCAAUGGGGGAAACCCUGACGCAGCAACGCCGCGUGGAGGAUGAAAUAUCUUGGUAUGUAAACUCCUUUCGAUGGGGAAGAUUAUGACGGUACCCAUAGAAGAAGCCCGGCUAACUUCGUGCCAGCAGCCGC